rnacentral:tRNA from 1 species
UCCCUGAUGGUCCAAUGGUUAGGACUCCACACAUCCACUGCAGGGGGCACGGGUUCAAUCCCCAGUCAGGGAA